GGAAUUAGAGUAUGGAGAAAUGAAGAAAUGAUGUAAGAAGACUGGCACGUGUGGCACGUGAGGAGUAGUGAGCUGCAGUACACGUGGAAAGAAAAGAUUGGAUCAAGUGGGCUAAAGCCCUUUAAAAGAGACAUCGUUCUCUUCUUCUUCAUUAUGCAAAAACCAGAGAAAUUAUUUUUAGUUGUAAUCUUCUUCUUCUUCUUAGUUUGUGUUGAAACUAUGGUGUUGUACUCAUCUAGAUCGAGAUCUCUCCGUUAGAUCUUUGUCAUUUGAGAUAUCGGCUCGCGUUUUAUGAACGUUAGUCCGAUUUGGUUCCGGUUACGAUUUGAAUUGAAGUAUUGGUGUUUUUCUUUAUCAAAGGUAUCAGAGCUGUGUCAUCCUCGGAUUCGUAUCAAUGGCGGCAACACGAUCUCCGAUGUUUGUCACGGAAAUGGUGGUUCGUGAAACCAUGGCGAAGACUCGAUCGCAAGCAGUGGUUACAGAAGAAACGAUUGGAUCGAGGAUUCAGGCGUUAGAAGAUUUGGUGAAGGAACGAAAUCAGAAGAUUGAUAGAAAUAUUUUGGAUAUGCUCGAGGCUAUGAAUCUGUUGACGAACAAGGGAUAUUCGUCUCAUGUACAAGAUCUUCGCAAUUCGUCUCGUGUAUCACCAGCACCUGCCAAUUCUCCAUCAGAUCCAGCACAUGGACAUCGUUCAGGUAUCUCUAAUUCUUAUGUGAGAGUUACAAGGUUGGCGAAGUUAGAUUGUCCUCGAUUUGGUGGCGAUAGAGUAAAGGAAUGGCUCUUUAAGAUUGAACAAUUUUUCUUGGUUGAUCGAACACCGGAUGAAUUGAAAAUAGGUUUAGUAUCUGGCCUAUUUGAUGAUCUGGCUGCUACUUGGCAUCAAUGGCUGGUACAAUCAGUUCUGUGGAAGCAUGUUAUGCACGAUUGGAUGACAUACAAAAUGUUGUUGCAAGGUAGAUUUAAGGAGCUGGAGGUUGAUCCAAUUGUUGAGUUGAAACAAUUACAGGAAACAGAUGGAAUUAGAGAUUAUCAUGAAAAAUUUGAGCUGAUCAAAUCUCGUGUGAAUCUAUCUGAAGCAUACUUGGUUAGUAUUUACUUAGCAGGGCUCAGAACAGAUACUCAAGUGAAUGUUAAAAUGUUUCAGCCACAAACAGUGAGCCAGUGUUUCAUGCUUGGAAGAUUGUAUGAGCAAGCACAUCCUAGAAGCAACACUGAUACCAGAGGGAUUAGUGAACCGAAAGCAGCGAAGGAUACAAAAGUGGUAGAAAUUGAGGUUGAGACAAAAUCGAUUGAAACGAUGGCACAUGAAGCGAUUUUGAAGGAAGACUUGAUUCCCCAAUUUCAGGUACCGGUUUCUAACUUGGAAUCUAGCCUUCGAUUUCACAAUGCAUCACCGGUUGUUUGUGAGGAUUCCCACUCUGUUGUUGUUGGCUGUACUGACUUGUUUAAUCAUCAAGAAACGAUAUUGCAAGCUUUAUACACCACCAAAGCAAGGGAUGUGUCGCUUCAGAAAUCAACAAGUGUCCCUAACAGUCAAGUUGCACACCAACUGUUCGAGAAAAUGCCUCUCAGAGAACAAAGUAAAAAGAGGCAUAUUAAGUGUUUCAAGUGUUGGAGAUUCAAAUUCAAACUAAGGAAACAACAGAGAGGCAAGCCACGAAUAGCACACAAACUGAUUUACAGAGGGGGUGUGAUGUACAAAUAUUUUGCUUCAAGUGUCAAAGUUGUAGUGAUAAAGAAGAAGAACAAGUUCUGUAAGACUUGGUCUACGCUCAAAGAUGGCUGUUUUAAGAAAACCAGGCCACAAAUAGAGGAUGUGAUGGGUGAAGAUCGCAAGAAACAACACGGAGAUAGUGAGCAUGAUACAAAAGUCUUUGAAACUUUAAAAGACCUACAACAGUUUACACUUGGUGAAGUGAUGUUCCAAAUAAAGCACAAGUGGAGAGAUGAUCAAUUUUCUGUGGAGAAGACUAUAAAAAUAGGCAGGAACUUUCACUACAAAAAUAGGUUAAUCCAAGGUGAAUUAGUGAAGAUGGGAGAACUAUCUAAGCUCAGAUUGAAGAAACAUCACAUGUCACAGUACUUAUGGAAGAGUUGGUGUUCUACAGUGCUUUAUGGAUAUUUUCUUUGGGAACACAGUGACAACGGGACGCAGCUCUUAUGCAGCAGGAGAUUGGUUGUUUACAAGCUUGGAAGUGAGGCCAAGAAUGCUGUAGCGGUGUCUCAGCGUGUGUAUUGGACUGUUGCACUGGAUUUUGCGAAAGUAGAACCAAAGCUUGAAGUCACACAAAGCCAAACCUUUGACCCUGGGAUUGGACUUGAAUCACAAGAGACUCUAAGAAGAACUAUGGAGGUAACGGCAUGGGAGUUCUCUUUGUUUCGCAUUGACAAUUUCCAAACACUGAACCUUGUGGUCAAGGUUCUUUGAAGAGGGGAGAUUUGAUAUAGGAAUUAGAGUAUGGAGAAAUGAAGAAAUGAUGUAAGAAGACUGGCACGUGUGGCACGUGAGGAGUAGUGAGCUGCAGUACACGUGGAAAGAAAAGAUUGGAUCAAGUGGGCUAAAGCCCUUUAAAAGAGACAUCGUUCUCUUCUUCUUCAUUAUGCAAAAACCAGAGAAAUUAUUUUUAGUUGUAAUCUUCUUCUUCUUCUUAGUUUGUGUUGAAACUAUGGUGUUGUACUCAUCUAGAUCGAGAUCUCUCCGUUAGAUCUUUGUCAUUUGAGAUAUCGGCUCGCGUUUUAUGAACGUUAGUCCGAUUUGGUUCCGGUUACGAUUUGAAUUGAAGUAUUGGUGUUUUUUCUUUAUCACCUACCAAAAAUUA
rnacentral:lncRNA from 1 species